ACACGUUUUGAGUAUGAGAAGAUUCGUUCGGACUAUCGUAGGAUACGAUACGUCAAUCUAUCUACGUAGAACUAUCACUGAGUCAAUACACCUGUACUAUACUUGUAUGUAGUUGAUGUCAAAGAUAAUAAACACAGAUGAAGCCAG